rnacentral:lncRNA from 1 species
CCGGCUCCUCCGGCGUCUUCUCCGGCGAGGCACUCGCGACUAGUGUUUUGUGGUCGGGUGUGGGUGAAGUUAUUUAUAGCCUUCCUCUUUUAAUCUCAUCCGUCCAUCAAGAUUUAAUAUAGACCGUCCGAUCGCGAUUUAUUUGGAAUUAAAUCUGGGACGUCCAUCGCGAUGCGAUCUGGGCCAUCCGUGCCUGAUUGAAUUUGGGUCGUCCGUAUGCGUUAGAUC